UGUGUGUGUGUGUGUGUGUGAAAGCUCCCCUCUGUGGAAAUAAGCCUCUCGACACACACACACACACACACACACACACACACACACACACACAC
rnacentral:miRNA from 1 species